GAGGGUAUAGCUCAGUGGUAGAGCACGUGCUUAGCAUGCACAAGGGCCUGGGUUCGAUCCCCAGGACCUCUG
rnacentral:tRNA from 1 species